AUAAUUCUCCCCCAAUUCACCCUCCAUUCCUGUCUAUUGGUCCUGUGCCUUUUGGUUUCAAUUUGUGCUUAGACCAAUUGUGUUUUUUUAAUUUAGGUAUCCCAAAAAAAGAAAAGAUCAAAGUGAAAUGAGGGUGAAAUGGUGCCUGACUUUCCAAAUGAGGAAUUAAUCCUAUUAGUCCAACAUCGGCCAGCACUGUGGGAUCAUACCCAUGAAAAACACUCAGACAAUUAUCAUACAAGAAAGAUGUGGCAGGAAGUGGGGGAAUGUUUAAUUCCGAACUAUGAAACAUUGUCUUCCUCAGUCAAGACUAAAUUAGAUGAGAAGAUGCAAAAAAAAUGGCGGUCAGUAAGAGAUGCUUUUAAAUGAUAUUGUACUAAAGAGGAACAAGCGUCUAAAAGUGGUUCUGGUGCCUCCAAACUUACAGUGUUCAAGCAUGCCAAUAGUCUACAAUUUCUUCGAAAAUGCUUCAAACUUCGAAAGACAACAUCAAGUCUUUCUUCAACAUUACAGACAGAAUAGAUGGAACAGACUGAGGAUUCCACACUACAAUCAGAAACUGCUCCACCAGUAGAAGGAGAACCUUCAGUUCCCAUGUCUGUGGCAGAUCGAAU